GGGAUUAAAUGCAUUUGCCACCACCACCUGGCACCUAUCCCUUCCUAUAUAGAAAAUAUAUUGAGCAUCACAGACUAUAUUUAAAUGUUAGAGCAGCUCUCUUAAUAAUAUUCUAUUACAAGUUAGAAAAAACCCCUAAUAAUAUCCUAAUCUUAAUAAGAAAAAAAAACUCUAAAAUUCCUAGAUGGUAUGGAAAUUAUAACUUCUUUUUUUGAAGGAGUAUCUUUGCACCAAUAUUUUCUUGCCCAUUGCAUAAUUAAUACAUUUAUCCCUACCAUGAACUGUAACCAGCCCCCUGCUCUGUUGAUUCUGAGUUCCCAGAACAACUUCACACACUGGUUCCUAUGGCUGCCACAAACCCACUUUAGAUGGCAUAUUAGCACUCCAUUCCACAGAGGAGGGAAUUGAGGCCCAGAGAAUUUAAAGAAGUUGACCAAGCUAUGGAGUUAAUAAGCACUGGGGUCCUUAGAGUCCCAGCAUGAGUAAUGGCAACACCUGGGUCCCAUUGAUCACACUAAACAAAACAGACAGAAGAAUAACCCCUAAAUCUUUGGGUAUCUCAAUCUGUUGAGAAGAAAGAGUCUGCUAUCCGGGCACACCCUAAGGCACCCUGGAAAGAGAAGUCACAGAGGAUGUGGUUUGGUGAAAGUCAGACCUAGACCCACAAGCAGGUCCUCUAUGGCCACCUGCGAAGGAAGAAGCAACAGAAGAGUUUGCCAGCUAGAGUGUGGCCCAGAUCUAGGACAAAAAGUGACCCUUGGGGUGUUCUUCUUCAGGGGUCUCUUGAUCCUCCUCCCUGCUUCUGAUCCUACCUGGGCCAGGCCAGCCAGAAGUUCGUGCUGCUGACCCCAGCCCUGCACUGCGUCUGGCAGCAGGAGUGGAGCGGCACUGGGUACAGCUUGAGAGUGAUUUAAGCACUCCUCCAGCUCAAAGGGGAAUCUUGGAUUUCAUUAAUUAAUACAUCAAUAGAAGCCAAUGGAGAAAAACAUGUCUUGUUAUCUGGCUGCUCAGAUGCUAGACAUGGGCUCAUUAGCCUUAAGCAUAUCAGCCCGAUAACACUAUUUAUUCCAUACGGAAUAAUGAUCUACUUUGGAGGAAUACUGCAGUGAGCCGAAAGGCCGAGUCCAUCCGUUACCACUGCUCCUGGCACAGGCGUACGGUAUCGCCAUCCUUCACGAGCAAACACGUGGUGCGUGUGCACAGGAUUGCCAGUCCCUGUCUUUGACCCUUUGAUGUGCCACACCCAUGCAUUGCUCCCCACAACACCCCCCCAUGCAUUGCUAGACUGUCACCCGCUUCAGAAAUGAGAGGAAGAAACCCCCAGCCAAGGUCACACCUAUUCAAAUAGGGGUCAUAGAGACAAAAGAAUCAGUUCUGUGAAGAUCCACUGAGGUUUCAGGUCCCAUUCCGGGAGGGAGAGUAGGGAAAGCCACACAAGGAAGAAAAGAAAGGGGUAGUCAGUCCUCGGCCACUGUGCAAAGAAGAGAAGGCUACCUAACAUUCAGGCACUAUGAUUUCUGUUUUCAAUUACGUGGUCUGCUUAAUGGCGCUAUCUUUGAAGGGAGCCAAUAGAAUUAUGGUGCAGUCUUAAACCAGUCAGCCUUGAAAAGAGUACAUGAAAACAACCAGAAUGAUGGUUGCUGGUGGUUGUUUCUGAUGGUGCAGUGCAUGUCUGUAAUCCCAGCUCUCAGGGAGCUUAGGUGGGAGGAUUAUAAGUUCAAGGCCAGCCUGGGCCACACAGUGAGAUGCUAUCUUAGAACAAAAGUUCAUAAGCAUAACUUGUUCUGUUAGUCUCACACAAUGCUGAUGCAAGACACCGAGCGUGCAGUAAAGGCAGCCUUUGGGACAAAUGAUGGUUCUGUCAGUGGAAAAAAAGGUUUUAGACACUGGUGUCCAGUAGGCACUAGCACCCCAUGCUACAAGGUCAAUAGCUGAUGCAGGGCAAGUCAUGUCUAAAAAAAAUUUCUCUGUGGAACUUGUGGCUUUCUAUCCUUCAGUCCUUCUGAUCUCCCAAUCCACCCAACUACACAAAAAUGUGGAGGCCAGUGACCUAUUUUGGCAUCCAUCAGUCAAGCCUCAUGGUAAGAACUCCGAUUCCACUCCUGUGGUUAUUCCAAGCAAGCACAGAAAAGAAUCAAAAACCUUGUCCCAGAGCCCUCCUGGUCAAGGAGACAAUAUGUGCCCUAAGACGGUCAUCAUUUGCCAAGUCAGUUCUGAGAAUGCAUGGUCUCCUGGAAGGCGCUGGAGCCAAUGGGAAGUUCCAGGAAAAGGGUCAGAGUCUUCCAGGAACAACUGAAGGUGGAAGCCAGAGCUUCUCAGACCGAACCUUGAAACUCUGGCUGGGCAACUUUCAGUGACAUUCAGAUCAGCCGUGGUGGGCAGGGCUGGGAGCAGGACAUCAGAGGCAUACCUGCUGAGGGGUUCAGCUCUCCUGCCUUGAGCAUAGAGACUCAUCCCUGGUGCAAGCAGAAGGACAUCCUUCAGGACAACAAGGUCCGAAUACUACAGACAGUCAUCUUGUUUAUGAAAGGGAGGGAAGAGACAUUUGGGAACAAGGAUAUGUGUUCCCACCUUGACUGUGGGCCUUUGUACAAACUCUGGCAAGGGGAUGAGUCAGUCUUAUGCCUGAAACCAGGUGUUGUCUUGGUGUUACUAAAAGUACCAUAUAGUUCGCAGUGAUGACUCCCUGGAGGGACGUGUGAAUAUUACUUCCCAGCUCACCAUGACAGCCGAAGGAAAGGGCCAUGGUGUUUAGUGGCAACAGUUCAAUACUGAGGCAGCACAAUGUCCAAGGCAGCCUCUUUGUACUCCAGACAAUAAAAAGGAACACAAACAAAGAGCUUUGGGAUGCAGCAGCAGCAAUGGGCAAAGAACUGUCUCCAAGGGUCAUUAAAAAAUAAUAUUUUUCCAAAUUAAUAAAAUGCAACCGUCCACACUCGGGACCAACAGCUUGUAAAAUUGGAUUUCUGAACGAUGAAAGGGUAAAGGCGAACAGCCCGGUCAGAAGCUGCUCACCAGAGGUGUUGGCAAGAAGGGGCCUGCCAAGGAGGCACAAAUGAGUGGCUUGCACAUUGACACUAACAUGCCUUUUCUGCCCAACAUGACAGUUCCUGAAUUCUACCAACUAGAGGGCCUGAGUGGUAGGAGAGAUAAGGGUUUCCCUGUCUUCACCCUUUAGGCCCCUAUAUUGGAGAGUGAGGGACAGGUCCUAAGGUCCAAGCCAAACAAAAGCAUCGUCAAGUCACCAGGGUCAUUCUAGGUCUCUGAGAUGGGAUGCAAAAUCUUGAAGUAUUUCUCUGUCUCUUUCACAACACCGAGCUUCUACACCGAACAAGUACAUGUCCAGAAUGGAGAAGCUCCUCAUAUACAUUUAAACACUGAACUGAAGAGAGAACAGAUGACAUCAUCCUAUUCGGUACCUAGUCCGAUGUCCCUUGGGAGCUGAAGGUCAGUAGAAAGCUGCCUUGCUGUCUUUAUAAAAAAAGAAAA